rnacentral:lncRNA from 1 species
GACACCUGGGAGCCAGAAAUCUUGGUGAUUGAUAGGGGAUCAAAUACUUAUUUCACUUAUUGACAUGCAAAUCAAUUUAUAACUUUUUUAACAUACGUUUUUCUGGAUUUUUGAUGUUGUUAUUCUGUCUCCCACUGUUAAAAUACACCUACCAUUAAAAUUAUAGACUGAUCAUUUCUUUGUCAGUGGGCAAACAUUUAAAAUCAGCAGGGGAUCAAAUACUUUUUUCCCCUCUUUGUACAUAUGUUUUAGUGCUUAAAUGUACUUAAAAGUGUAAAAAGUAGAGCAAUCACAUAGAAACCAAACCAAAAAAAACUAAAACAAACAUACACCCAGGAAGGUCAAGCACCUAAAAUGGUGUUGGUGGGGAAAAAUGACAACUUAACAACCCUGGCAACCCAAUCCAGAAUCUCUCUUUCCCAGGAGAUACUUGUAGGGAGAAGUGGAAGUAGGACCUUGAGAUAGCCUCUUUCCAUGACAUAUGGAAAGAGAAGAAUGGGGCAGUGGAGGAUAAUAUAGUGUAAUAUGUUGAUUGCACGGAGGAGGGAAACUAAAAUUAUGCACUUCCAGAAUAUGAAGAUAUGGGCUUGCUCUGGUUUGGUGCACUUGAGCAACACAAUCCUCACUUAAGAAUAUGUAGUAUAUCUCCAUUACUAAACAGUGUUACUUUUAUAUUCUGUUUUUUAUCACUUUAUUUAUUUUAUUGUAUUUAAAGUUGUUAUUAGUCUCUUUAAGAUAAGAUCUCUUGACCAUCCUGUUUUAUUCCUAACAUCUCCUAACUCCAUUUUCCAUGGGGUAUGUACCACUGAAGUUCUAUGGAUUAGGCAAAGCUUAAAUUUCGCUCCCAAGUUAGUAAGUGUAUUUUCCUUUACUUGUACUCCUUUUAAUACAAUAUGCUCUAUAUAUUUCUUUUUUGUUUUCUUAUAUACAUAUCACGGAGAAAACAAUGCACUAUCAAUGAAUCCCCUGUUUAAAAGGGUGAUUUAGAAGGCUCCAUCACAUGUGAGAGCAAUUUUAUUCACCUAUUUUCCUGGCCUAUACUAUCCUGAUUUACUAGAUUAUACAGUGUUUGUAUUCUGUCUUAAAUAUAUAUAUAUUGGACUUUCCUCCUAGACAAAGAGAUACGCUACUUAUCUUUAAUUGGGGAUUGUAGUACUCAAAUGCAUCAAAUCAGAGCAAUCCGAUGGCUCCAUAUCCUGCAAGUGCACAUCUUUUGUUUCCAUACUCCAUUCAAUCUUCAUAAUACACUACAUUCCUCCACUACCCCAUUCUUCUCGGACCAUAUACCACUCCUCCCAUUUCUCCCUACAUGGCAACCAGUGGAAUAUUCCAGCUAAUUGCUCCACUUUAGUUACUUUUUUUUUCCAGAAUUGCUCUUUACACAGAAUCCCUGUGUUAGCGUAAUAAUCGAAUAACCACCAGGUUCCGCAAAGAGUUUUAUUGAUCACGAGAAGCAACUGUAAUCACAGUGAGACCUUAGCAAGUGAAGUCUGACAUAGUAAUAAAAGCAAGGAUUUAUAGAGUAAAAUGAGGAACAACAACCCAUCUGAAUAUCUCCUAAAAUUGUAAUUGUUCUUACAAUUCAAGUUUAAAAUUAAGGUAUCAUUAAAAGUUACCAAACCUCACUCAUUUAGGAAAUGUUUGUUUUUGUCACGUUAUAUCAUGUGUCCUUCUGAGGAAUUCUGGGUAGUUGGCAUGAGCGGUGAUUGCAAGUAAACCAUUAAGUGUGCAUAAACAAACAAAAAAAAAAAACAAUAAAUACAUGCUUUAAAUUAAAAUGAAUUGAUCUCUUUCUCACGGAGUAAAGAUGGGCCCUGACUCAUCAGGAUUUUAUUAACAUAUUUACGUAUCUCCUAUAUUCCAACAAAAAUGAAUCAUAGAAUUCCUGGAACUAACACUUCUUUGAAUCUUAUCAAUUUAAAAAAAAAAAA